UUUCCGGUUGAUCUUGCCGGAGGCCACUGCUAUUGGGGUUCGACUAAGCCAUGCGAGUCUAUGGACUUCGGUCCAUGGCGGACGGCUCAGUAACACGUGGCUAACCUAUCCUCAGGUGGGGGAUAACCUCGGGAAACUGAGGGUAAUACCCCAUAGGGGAAGAGGUCUGGAAUGAUCCUUCCUUGAAAGGACAUCCGCCUGAGGAUGGGGCUGCGUCCGAUUAGGUAGUUGGUGGGGUAAUGGCCCACCAAGCCUACGACCGGUACGGGCCUUGAGAGAGGAAGCCCGGAGAUGGGGACUGAGACACGGCCCCAGGCCCUACGGGGCGCAGCAGGCGCGAAACCUCCACAAUGCACGAAAGUGCGAUGGGGGAACCCCAAGUGCCCAUGCACAGCAUAGGCUUUUCCCAAGUGUAAACAGCUUGGGGAAUAAGGGCUGGGCAAGUCCGGUGCCAGCAGCCGCGGUAACACCGGCGGCCCGAGUGGUGGCCACUCUUAUUGGGCCUAAAGCGUCCGUAGCCGGUCCAGUAAGUCCCUGUUUAAAUCCUACGGCUCAACCGUAGGACUGGCAGGGAUACUGCUGGACUUGGGACCGGGAGAGGACGAGGGUACUCCAGGGGUAGCGGUGAAAUGUGUUGAUCCCUGGAGGACCACCUAUGGCGAAGGCACUCGU
rnacentral:rRNA from 1 species